CUGAACCAAUAAAUCUAUGAUCUGAACAGACCAAGAUUUCUUGUCAUGGAUAACUUCGCCAAAAAGGUAUUUUUGGUGCAAAACCUCGCUAAAAAUUUAUCCUGCUGUAUAUGUGGCGAUUUGUUAAACAUUCCUGUAUAUAACUGCACAACGGGGUUCUCUAUGUGCAGCAAAUGUUCAGAUUCUGAUGCUUUGUGUAGGUUGUGCGGAUACAUCUGUAGCAAUCGACGGAACAAUCACUUGGAGAGGAUAUUAGAAUAUCUAAGAAACGAUUUAAAACAGUAUUCUGAAGAUGGGAGACCAAUAGGGGGGCUUGUAAAUAACUAGUUAUUGAUCUGAGUUUGAUUUAAGAUUGUUUCUUCUGUCAAUGUCAUUUUUAAUUGACAAAUCUACCCUAUUUAAGUAGAUUAUAUGUCUUUUUUGUUGAGUCAGAGUCAAACCAUAUACUAUAAAUAUGUUUUAAUAUGUAUAUUUUUAUUCCACUAGAGUUUUAUUAUUUUAUUAUCAAGUUAUAUUUGUGUUUAAUGACAGUGUAUUGUGUAAAGAUAUUAAAUACAAUUUUAGAAAUUAA